CUGGGAUUAGAUACCCUGUUAUUUAAAAAAUAAUUAAAAUAAAUAGAGUAGUAAUAGUUAUAUUCUUAAAACUUAAUAAAUUUGGCGGUAUUUUAAUCUAUUCAGAGGAACUUGUUUUAUAAUUGAUAAUCCUCAUUUUAUCUUACUUAAUUUAAUUAAAUUUGUAUACCGUUGUCAUAAGAAUUUCUUUAAAAAGUAAUAAUUUUCUAAAAUUUUUAUUAAUAAUAAUGUCAAAUCAAGGUGCAGUAUAUAAUUAAGGAAAAAUGAGUUACAAUAAAUUUAUUUAUUUACGGAUUAAAAAUUGAAAUAUUUUUAUUAAGGAGGAUUUGAUAGUAAAAUAAAAUUAAUAAUUUUAUUUGAUUUUAGUUCUAAAAUAUGUACAAAUCGCCCGUCACUCUCUGA
rnacentral:rRNA from 1 species